rnacentral:rRNA from 1 species
AUUGAACGCUGGCGGCAUGCUUUACACAUGCAAGUCGAACGGUAACAGGCCGCAAGGUGCUGACGAGUGGCGAACGGGCGAGUAAUGCAUCGGAACGUGCCCAGUCGUGGGGGAUAACGCAGCGAAAGCUGCGCUAAUACCGCAUACGAUCUAUGGAUGAAAGCGGGGGACCGUAAGGCCUCGCGCGAUUGGAGCGGCCGAUGUCAGAUUAGGUAGUUGGUGGGGUAAAGGCUCACCAAGCCAACGAUCUGUAGCUGGUCUGAGAUGACGACCAGCCACACUGUGACUGAGACACGGCCCAGACUCCUACGGGAGGCAGCAGUGGGGAAUUUUGGACAAUGGGCGCAAGCCUGAUCCAGCAAUGCCGCGUGCAGGAAGAAGGCCUUCGGGUUGUAAACUGCUUUUGUACGGAACGAAACGGUCCUGGUUAAUACCUGGGGCUAAUGACGGUACCGUAAGAAUAAGCACCGGCUAACUACGUGCCAGCCGCCGCCGUAACAC